UACGGAGGGAGCUAGCGUUGUUCGGAAUUACUGGGCGUAAAGCGCGCGUAGGCGGCUUUGUAAGUCAGAGGUGAAAUCCCGGAGCUCAACUCCGGAACUGCCUUUGAGACUGCAUCGCUUGAAUCCGGGAGAGGUGAGUGGAAUUCCGAGUGUAGAGGUGAAAUUCGUAGAUAUUCGGAAGAACACCAGUGGCGAAGGCGGCUCACUGGCCCGAUACUGACGCUGAGGCACGAAAGCGUGGGGAGCAAACAGG
rnacentral:rRNA from 1 species